rnacentral:rRNA from 1 species
AUACGGAGGGUGCAAGCGUUAUUCGGAAUCACUGGGUUUAAAGGGUGCGUAGGCGGCGCUAUAAGUCAGAGGUGAAAGCCCCCAGCUCAACUGGGGAACUGCCUUUGAUACUGUAGUGCUUGAAUCAGGUUGAGGUUAGCGGAAUGUGUCAUGUAGCGGUGAAAUGCAUAGAUAUGACAUAGAACACCAAUUGCGAAGGCAGCUGACUAGACCUGUAUUGACGCUGAGGCACGAAAGCGUGGGGAGCGAACAGGAUUAGAAACCCGAGUAGUCC